rnacentral:rRNA from 1 species
GAUUGAACGCUGGCGGCAUGCCUUACACAUGCAAGUCGAACGGCAGCACGGGGCAACCUGGUGGCGAGUGGCGAACGGGUGAGUAAUGCAUCGGAACGUGCCAUUGAGUGGGGGAUAACGUAGCGAAAGUUGCGCUAAUACCGCAUAUUCUGUGAGCAGGAAAGCAGGGGACCGCAAGGCCUUGCGCUCUUUGAGCGGCCGAUGUCAGAUUAGCUAGUUGGUGAGGUAACGGCUUACCAAGGCGACGAUCUGUAGCGGGUCUGAGAGGAUGAUCCGCCACACUGGAACUGAGACACGGUCCAGACUCCUACGGGAGGCAGCAGUGGGGAAUUUUGGACAAUGGGCGCAAGCCUGAUCCAGCCAUGCCGCGUGAGUGAAGAAGGCCUUCGGGUUGUAAAGCUCUUUCGGCCGGGAAGAAAUCGCAUGGGUUAAUACCCUGUGUGGAUGACGGUACCGGAAUAAGAAGCACCGGCUAACUACGUGCCAGCAGCCGCGGUAAUACGUAGGGUGCGAGCGUUAAUCGGAAUUACUGGGCGUAAAGCGUGCGCAGGCGGUUUUGUAAGACAGGCGUGAAAUCCCCGGGCUUAACCUGGGAACUGCGCUUGUGACUGCAAGGCUAGAGUACGGCAGAGGGGGGUGGAAUUCCACGUGUAGCAGUGAAAUGCGUAGAGAUGUGGAGGAACACCAAUGGCGAAGGCAGCCCCCUGGGUCGAUACUGACGCUCAUGCACGAAAGCGUGGGUAGCAAACAGGAUUAGAUACCCUGGUAGUCCACGCCCUAAACUAUGUCAACUAGGUGUUGGGUGGGUAAAACCAUUUAGUACCGUAGCUAACGCGUGAAGUUGACCGCCUGGGGAGUACGGCCGCAAGGUUAAAACUCAAAGGAAUUGACGGGGACCCGCACAAGCGGUGGAUGAUGUGGAUUAAUUCGAUGCAACGCGAAAAACCUUACCCACCUUUGACAUGGCAGGAAUUCCGAAGAGAUUUGGAAGUGCUCGAAAGAGAACCUGCACACAGGUGCUGCAUGGCUGUCGUCAGCUCGUGUCGUGAGAUGUUGGGUUAAGUCCCGCAACGAGCGCAACCCUUGCCAUUAGUUGCUACGAAAGGGCACUCUAAUGGGACUGCCGGUGACAAACCGGAGGAAGGUGGGGAUGACGUCAAGUCCUCAUGGCCCUUAUAGGUGGGGCUACACACGUCAUACAAUGGCCGGUACAAAGGGUAGCCAACCCGCGAGGGGGAGCCAAUCCCAUAAAGCCGGUCGUAGUCCGGAUCGCAGUCUGCAACUCGACUGCGUGAAGUCGGAAUCGCUAGUAAUCGUGGAUCAGCAUGUCACGGUGAAUACGUUCCCGGGUCU